UACGUAGGGUGCGAGCGUUAAUCGGAAUUACUGGGCGUAAAGCGUGCGUAGGCGGUCUGUUAAGACAGGUGGGAAAUCCCCGGGCUUAACCUGGGAAUGGCGCUUGUUACUGGCAGACUAGAGUACGUCAGAGGGGGGUGGAAUUCCACGUGUAGCGGUGAAAUGCGUAGAGAUCCGGAGGAACACCGACGGCGCAGGCAGCGUCCUGGCCGCUAGCUGACACUGAGGCACGAAAGCUGGGGGAGCAAACAGG
rnacentral:rRNA from 1 species